CAGAGUUCUAAAAGACUCCCAAACCAUUGUGAACAUACCCGUCAGCGUUGCUUCGGCGGGCGUCCCCUCCCUGGGGACGCUGCCCUUCGGGGUGCCCGCCGGUGCUUACGAAACUCUUUUGUAUUUUAGUGGCCUCUCUGAGAAAACAAACAAAUAAGUUA
rnacentral:misc_RNA from 1 species